GCCAAACGCUCAAAUUAUGGUGUUUGUAUUCAUUCACCUACUAGAGUGUCUCAUGACAUCUCAUAUUUGAUGUCUCAAGUUUCAUUUGAGGGACGUUCUAUGCCUCAUAAGGAGCCUCCACCAUUGGAUAGUAGACAAUGUCAAUGCUAAUGAUGAACCGGUUGAAACUGCUGAUCAUGCAAAGAGAUUUCACUAAUGUUAGUGAGGGUCAAUUGAUGACAAUAUAGAUACAAUGAAGAAAUAUCUAAAAAUAAUUGAGUCUUUAAAUCCUUAUGUACUCAAAUUCAGAUGCUGGAACCAUAUAUUUCCUUUCAUGUUCAUGCCCAUUUGUCAGUUGGAUUGAACCUUGUGACAUCUUGAGGCGUACUCAGAAUUUAGUAAAGAUGUUGCAUAUUUGAGAUAUGUAAUAGCAGUGAAUUGUAAUUUUUUUUAUGAGUGACUGAACCACCUUUGAAGAGUGGU